UUUUUUAGGGUGGCGAAGACGGGUUGCUCCGGUGCUUGGGGGUGGGGGAGAGGGGUGUGGCGAGGGUGCUGGCGUGGAUGGAGGGCUAGGGGAGGCGUUAGAAGGAGAGCAGUGGUUGGAGGGUGGUGCGGCGGGUCCUAGAGGUGGUGGCCGGUGGCGCGGCGCGUGGUGCGUGGGGGGAGGCGGCCGGCGGCGCCCUCGGUAGGGUGGGGCGCGGCGCGUAGUGGAGGGGAGGGAAGGGUUGCGGUGUGCUGCCAGACCUAAAGCGGGUGCGGAGGGUAGGGCUGGAGGGAGGGGUGGUCCGGGGCCGGCGGGGAGGGGUCUGGUGACGGCGGUGGGGAGGUGUCUGUCGACGGCGCGGCGGGGAAGGAUGCGGCCGCGACGAGGCGGGGAAGGGUCCGGCGGUGGCGCGGGGACGGGCGCUCGUGGCACCCGCAACUGACGGCGAUGUUGGGGGCGGAGCCACUAGAGAAAGACGUAGCAUCGCCGGUUUAGGUCACAGCACGUCAGUUAACGUACCCACGUACUUAGUGAGGGUAGGACGUGGGGACCUAUCGGGUGCUCUAGAACGAUGACCCUCCCGUUCCCAACUCGCCAAGCCCACCACGAGGUGACGUCGAGCCAACGACCUCCCUCCCGCCACCACUACACGCCAGUACCCCCAACCUACGGGUCGCGGCAGGAGAAGACGGGAAGGAGGUGGGAAAAAGAGGAGGUUCCUAUCCGGGCCACUCGGAGGUUAGGGCUGAUGGUUGAGACAUCCAGGUGAUUGAAUCUACGCACACUGGAAGAGAUUACACGCGGAGUGGUCACCCCGGGGUGUAGCGGCCGCAGCCGGAGGUUGCUCGUCACCGGGCUCGAACAGAGAAGUAAAAAGACGAGCACGUGGAGGGCAAAUCUGGGACGACAAACACCCGUGUUCGCUACGUCAGGUGAUACAUAAGUCCAUCACGUUACACGAUCUUAGGAAAACAACCUCCACUGACGACGAGGAGCGGUGGGUAGAGGAAGGAGAUGACGUCUUCCUUCCGAGCGUUGCAGAGGUACGUCAAGCGGGGACCGUCGCUGUGGUACCGACACACACCGUACGUACGCGAACCACUUUGGUUUCGGUUUGGGCUUCACUUCUUACUUCUUGUCUCCAGACACUAUCUUUUCAAAGGUAGUUCACAAGGACACUAACCAGGACGUUACUUUCCUCACCGAAGGCACCCGUCCACUAGUUUGUAGAUCAAACUAUACGCGACUAAGUUUUAAAGUCUAAUCAAUGACUUAUAACAAUGAGUCCUUCAUGAUCAAGAACCCCGACUAACGUGAGAAUUAAAGUCAGUUUCUGCUCUAGAAAAGUUGGAACGUCGUGAGAACCGAACCGAACGCCGACGACACCGAUCUACAAUCCUAAAAAGCAGGUCUAAUAACGACUUCGAUCGGUUGCCCUUUUCUGAGAGAUCUUCUCUCUCCUCGGUCGACUGGGCGUGUCGACGUCUGAAUAAGUUCGACCAGGGGAAAAACCAAAAACAGCAUCAGGGUAAGAGACAAAAAGUGACGUGGUUUUGGUAACGUCGAGACCUAUCACCUAUCCACGCCACGCCGAUUGCGUGACAACGUCACGCCUCACAAAAACCACGUCCAAACUCACAAUAACUGCGUCACGUCUCAGGAGAGAUUCGUCAGGUAUCGUAAAAAAAAAUAAAAAAGUCCAGACCGGAACACAAAAUAGACAUCAAGUAAUUUCACCUCAAAGAUCGUCUAAUCAAACUACGUCAAAACCAGUGUUAUUACUGGUCGGAGUCUAAGUGAUUGGUACGAGGUCUAGCGGUCCUCGCACAAAAGGGAGGAGAACGUCAGACCCGCAGACGUCUGAACUUCACGCGGUCCCGCGCGUUUACACCAAGCCGCCGCGCACCGGACAAACGGGAUACUAAACCACGCCUUACAGCGCACCCUCUUCUCUUUGUUCAUCAAGGAGAUUAAACACAUGGUUGAGUAAUAAGGAUACACACUUCACGUUAAACAAACACACAGAGCCUUUUAGUCAACUGAUAGUAGUUUAGGACGUCACACAAACCA
rnacentral:rRNA from 1 species